rnacentral:rRNA from 1 species
AGAGUUUGAUCAUGGCUCAGGAUGAACGCUGGCGGUAUGCCUAACACAUGCAAGUCGAACGAAGUCUUCGGACUUAGUGGCGGACGGGUGAGUAACGCGUGAGAAUCUGCCUCCAGGUUGGGGAUAACAGUUGGAAACGACUGCUAAUACCCGAUGAGCCGCAAGGUAAAAGAUUUAUUGCCUGGAGAUGAGCUCGCGUCUGAUUAGCUAGUUGGUGGGGUAAAAGCCUACCAAGGCGACGAUCAGUAGCUGGUCUGAGAGGAUGAGCAGCCACACUGGGACUGAGACACGGCCCAGACUCCUACGGGAGGCAGCAGUGGGGAAUUUUCCGCAAUGGGCGCAAGCCUGACGGAGCAAUACCGCGUGAGGGAAGAAGGCUCUUGGGUUGUAAACCUCUUUUCUCAGGGAAGAAGAACUGACGGUACCUGAGGAAUCAGCAUCGGCUAACUCCGUGCCAGCAGCCGCGGUAAUACGGAGGAUGCAAGCGUUAUCCGGAAUUAUUGGGCGUAAAGAGUCCGUAGGUGGUGAGAUAAGUCUGCUGUCAAAGACCGGAGCUCAACUCCGGAAAGGCAGUGGAAACUGUAACACUAGAGACCGGGAGGGGUAGAGGGAAUUCCCAGUGUAGCGGUGAAAUGCGUAGAGAUUGGGAAGAACACCGGUGGCGAAGGCGCUCUACUGGACCGGAACUGACACUGAGGGACGAAAGCUAGGGGAGCGAAAGGGAUUAGAUACCCCUGUAGUCCUAGCUGUAAACGAUGGAUACUAGGCGUGGCUUGUAUCGACCCGAGCCGUGCCGGAGCUAACGCGAUAAGUAUCCCGCCUGGGGAGUACGCACGCAAGUGUGAAACUCAAAGGAAUUGACGGGGGCCCGCACAAGCGGUGGAGUAUGUGGUUUAAUUCGAUGCAACGCGAAGAACCUUACCAGGACUUGACAUCUGGCGAAUCUUAAGGAAACUUGAGAGUGCCUUCGGGAACGCCAAGACAGGUGGUGCAUGGCUGUCGUCAGCUCGUGUCGUGAGAUGUUGGGUUAAGUCCCGCAACGAGCGCAACCCUCGUCCUUAGUUGCCAGCCUUAAGUGGGGAACUCUAGGGAGACUGCCGGGGACAACUCGGAGGAAGGUGGGGAUGACGUCAAGUCAGCAUGCCCCUUACGUUCUGGGCGACACACGUACUACAAUGGUCGGGACAAAGGGCAGCGAGCUCGCAAGAGUAAGCGAAUCUCAGCAAACCCGGCCUCAGUUCAGAUUGCAGGCUGCAACUCGCCUGCAUGAAGGAGGAAUCGCUAGUAAUCGCAGGUCAGAAUACUGCGGUGAAUCCGUUCCCGGGCCUUGUACACACCGCCCGUCACACCAUGGAAGCUGGCUACGCCCGAAGUCGUUACUCCAACCCUCACCGGAGGAGGACGCCGAAGGUAGAGCUAGUGACUGGGGUGAAGUCGUAACAAGGUA